UACGUAGGGUGCAAGCGUUGUCCGGAAUUAUUGGGCGUAAAGAGCUCGUAGGCGGUUUGUCGCGUCGAAUGUGAAAACCCGGGGCUCAACCCCGGGCCUGCAUUCGAUACGGGCAGACUAGAGUUCGGUAGGGGAGUCUGGAAUUCCUGGUGUAGCGGUGAAAUGCGCAGAUAUCAGGAGGAACACCGGUGGCGAAGGCGGGACUCUGGGCCGAUACUGACGCUGAGGAGCGAAAG
rnacentral:rRNA from 1 species